UACGUAGGGGGCAAGCGUUGUCCGGAAUUAUUGGGCGUAAAGAGCUCGUAGGCGGUCCUCUAAGUCGAAUGUGAAAUCUCAGGGCUCAACCCUGAAACUGCAUCCGAUACUGGAGGACUUGAGGCAGGUAGGGGAGAGUGGAAUUCCUGGUGUAGCGGUGAAAUGCGCAGAUAUCAGGAGGAACACCCGUGGCGAAGGCGGCUCUCUGGGCCUCACCUGACGCUGAGACGCGAAAGCAUGGGUAGCGAACAGG
rnacentral:misc_RNA from 1 species